rnacentral:rRNA from 1 species
UACGAGUGCCUCAAGCGUUAUCCGGAAUUAUUGGGCGUAAAGGGUGUGUAGGAGGUUUUGUUAGUCUCUUGUUAAAUUCUUCGGCUUAACCGGGGGCAUGCAAGGGAAACGGCAAAACUAGAGGGUGCGAGAGGUGAAUGGAACUCAUAGUGUAGGGGUGAAAUCCGUUGAUAUUAUGGGGAACACCAAAAGCGAAGGCAAUUCACUGGCGCAUUCCUGACUCUGAAACACGAAAGCGUGGGUAGCGAAUGGG